UCGGCUUAGAGUUUGAUCCUGGCUCAGAUUGAACGCUGGCGGCAGGCCUAACACAUGCAAGUCGAGCGGUAGGGAAGCUUGCUUCCCACUAGCGGCGGACGGGUGAGUAAUGUAUGGGGAUCUGCCCGAUAGAGGGGGAUAACUACUGGAAACGGUAGCUAAUACCCCAUAAUCUCUCAGGAGCAAAGCAGUUCGUUGCGCUAUCGGAUGAACCCAUAUGGGAUUAGCUAGUUGGUGAGGUAAUGGCUCACCAAGGCGACUAUCCCUAGCUGGUCUGAGAGGAUGAUCAGCCACACUGGGACUGAGACACGGCCCAGACUCCUACGGGAGGCAGCAGUGGGGAAUAUUGCACAAUGGGCGCAAGCCUGAUGCAGCCAUGCCGCGUGUAUGAAGAAGGCCUUAGGGUUGUAAAGUACUUUC
rnacentral:rRNA from 1 species